UACGUAGGCAGCAAGCGUUGUUCGGAGUUACUGGGCGUAAAGAGUGUGUAGGCGGGUCGUUAAGUGGGGGGGGGAAAUCCCACGGCUCAACCGUGGAACUGCCGGGCAUACUGGCGAUCUUGAGGCAUUCAGGGGCGAGCGGAACAAAUGGUGGAGCGGUGAAAUGCGUAGAUAUCAUUUGGAACGCCAAUGGUGAAAACAGCUCGCUGGGAAUGAUCUGACGCUGAGACGCGAAAGCCAGGGGAGCGAACGGG
rnacentral:rRNA from 1 species